AUCACUUCGCAGGUGUAUAAACUGCAUACAUUGUGGUAUACGCCUGUGUGUUAGGUGGGUGAUUCGCUCGAGUCAAUCCCUAAUUCCCUCUUUUAUUUUAUAUUGGCUUUGGAAGCAACACCAUGGUUUAUUGUUAACGAUUCAGAGGUUAUCCUUAUCUGAAUUCGUCUUAUCAGUUAUCAUAUCAAUAAUUCAAAUUUCAAUAUAUUUUUAUUUUGAAAUCAUUUUCUACGCAUCACAUUUAUAUAUUUAAGUCGAAAAAUUAAGAGAGAAGGCGAUGGAGUUUGAUCAGUAAAAAAAAAAACGUGGGCCCUAUUCAACAAGUCCUUAAUAAAUUGAUCAGAUAAUGUUUUAUAAUAUUGUAAAAUUUCCAAAACCAUAAACAUAACCGAAGGAAGAAAAAGAAAUCAACAAUAUAUAACUCAAAAACGCAUGAAAUCAACCAAAAUUGUUAACACUAUAAUAGAAGACGACCAACUUUUAAUGGACUACGAUAUUAAAUCGGACGCAAUAAGCCAAAAGAAGGGCAUGGCUCAAGCCCUCAAAUUAUGUUACAUAGAAAAUUUACUAUCUAAAGUUGAUUGGAUUAAAGUAGAACCAUUAAAUAAUAAAUUAAAACAAUUUUUUGAACUAGAUGAAAUAAAUAUUUUUACAAAAUCUCAACUAAAAAAAUUGUUUUUUAAAAAGUUUAAAAAUAUAAUAAAAAAGAAAAAACGUAUGUGUAAUCUCAACUAAAGAAAUUUAAUAAAAACAAAAAACUUUAUAAUAUCUUACAACAAAAUCUAUUAUGUAUGUGAACAUUAUAAUAUUAAUAAUA